rnacentral:rRNA from 1 species
AGUGAACGCUGGCGGUAGGCCUAACACAUGCAAGUCGAACGGCAGCACAGUAAGAGCUUGCUCUUACGGGUGGCGAGUGGCGGACGGGUGAGGAAUACAUCGGAAUCUACUUUUUCGUGGGGGAUAACGUAGGGAAACUUACGCUAAUACCGCAUACGACCUACGGGUGAAAGCAGGGGAUCUUCGGACCUUGCGCGAUUGAAUGAGCCGAUGUCGGAUUAGCUAGUUGGCGGGGUAAAGGCCCACCAAGGCGACGAUCCGUAGCUGGUCUGAGAGGAUGAUCAGCCACACUGGAACUGAGACACGGUCCAGACUCCUACGGGAGGCAGCAGUGGGGAUUAUUGGACAAUGGGCGCAAGCCUGAUCCAGCCAUACCGCGUGGGUGAAGAAGGCCUUCGGGUUGUAAAGCCCUUUUGUUGGGAAAGAAAAGCAGCAGGUUAAUACCCCGCUGUUCUGACGGUACCCAAAGAAUAAGCACCGGCUAACUUCGUG